AGUAUUUUUGUUGUUUUAUUUCACUAUGCCUAAAUCGCGGAAUAUAUAAAGGAAAAAAACAAAAGAAUUAAAACUUCAUGAUAUAGAUAUGUAUUUGACUUGGAUAGUAACAAAAUGUCCGACUGUUAUUACUUCAUAUUGUUGAGAACAAAUUUUUGAUAAGCCGGUCGACAAUGUAGAAACACGUUUCACAUUGUUGCGUUCUGUCCACCUGGUACACAGACAUUACAUUCAGGAGCCGAAGGUUCGAUGACCUUAACAACCGACGAGUUCUCACUUGCAGAAAGCUACUUUUGUCGUUCUCUUUUCACCCGCCUACCAUAGAUGUGUGUCGCUUCGUUGCGGCUUACGUAAAACAUUCGUUUGAUAUUUUUAGCUUUACAGAAGAAACCGACGUCUUGUUCCGUAUUUCCGAAAUACAAAUAAGAAAGAAACGUAACAUUUCCAUGAUAAAUGCAAUUUACUUGCUCUAAAAUAGUUACGAGCAAAUCAAACGAAUGAUUGACUGAGAAAAUGUAUUAAUUCUAUCGUAUUAUUACGAAUCGAAUAAUUAAUUCAAUUAGUGAAAUAAUUAAUAAAUAUGUAUCUAACUAACACAGAAAUUAAUACUCUUCUAGUACUUGUUACAAGAUGUUGUUACAAUGUUAUAUAAUUGAGCUUAGACUCGAGUAUCAAUAACUGAUCCAUAAAAAACAUAAUAUUUUUGUAUCUUACAUCCCACGCAAAUAAUCAACUAUUGAGAAUUCUUGAUAUAAGUGUUUUCUAAAAGGUGUAGUUAAAUUAUCAUGAUUUUCUCCAAAUAAAAUGCCAAUGCGCAUAGUAAGAAGCACGAAGAAAAUGUUUACUUUUGGGCUGUAAAUAAGGUUGAACGAAAGAUUUCCAAGGAGA